GUUUGAUCCUGGCUCAGAACGAACGCUAGCGGCGUGCCUAACACAUGCAAGUCGUACGAGAAAUCCCGGGAAACUGGGAGAGUAAAGUGGCGCACGGGUGAGUAACGCGUGGGUAAUCUGCCCUAAAGUUAGGAAUAACACCUCGAAAGGGGUGCUAAUACCAAAUGACAUCUCCGGAACUUCGGUUCUGGAAAUCAAAGACGGCUGAGGCUUGCAAGCUGUCGCUUUAGGAUGAGCCCGCGUACCAUUAGCUAGUUGGUGGGGUAAUGGCCCACCAAGGCCAUGAUGGUUAGCUGGUCUGAGAGGAUGGCCAGCCACACUGGAACUGAGAUACGGUCCAGACUCCUACGGGAGGCAGCAGUGAGGAAUCUUGCGCAAUGGGGGCAACCCUGACGCAGCAACGCCGCGUGAGUGAUGAAGGCCUUCGGGUCGUAAAGCUCUGUCAGAUGGGAAGAAAGUUUUCGCGGUUAACACCCGCGGAGAUUGACGGUACCGUCAAAGGAAGCACCGGCUAACUCCGUGCCAGCAGCCGCGGUAAUACGGAGGGUGCAAGCGUUGUUCGGAAUCAUUGGGCGUAAAGAGCGUGUAGGCGGUUGGGUAAGUCAGAUGUGAAAUCCCUUGGCUUAACCAAGGAAGUGCAUUUGAAACUGCCCGGCUUGAGUACGGGAGGGGGAAGUGGAAUUCCCGGUGUAGAGGUGAAAUUCGUAGAUAUCGGGAGGAACACCGGUGGCGAAGGCGGCUUCCUGGACCGAUACUGACGCUGAGACGCGAAAGCGUGGGGAGCAAACAGGAUUAGAUACCCUGGUAGUCCACGCCGUAAACUUUGGGCACUUGGUGUUGCGGGUAUUGACCCCUGCAGUGCCGAAGCUAACGCAUUAAG
rnacentral:rRNA from 1 species